CCUACGGGCGGCAGCAGUGGGGAAUAUUGCGCAAUGGGCGAAAGCCUGACGCAGCGACGCCGCGUGAGGGAUGAAGGUCUUCGGAUCGUAAACCUCUGUCAGCAGGGAAGAACGGUCACUGUGCUAAUCAGCCGUGAAUUGACGGUACCUGCAAAGGAAGCACCGGCUAACUCCGUGCCAGCAGCCGCGGUAAUACGGAGGGUGCGAGCGUUAAUCGGAAUUACUGGGCGUAAAGCGCUCGUAGGCGGUAUGUCAAGUCAAGGGUGAAAUCCCCGGGCUCAACGUGGGAACUGCCUUUGAUACUGGCAGGCUGGAGUGUGUGAGAGGAGAGUGGAAUUCCAGGGGUAGGAGUGAAAUCCGUAGAGAUCUGGAGGAACAUCAGUGGCGAAGGCGACUAUCUGGCACAUAACUGACGCUGAGGAGCGAAAGCGUGGGGAGCAAACAGGAUUAGAUACCCUGGUAGUC
rnacentral:rRNA from 1 species